rnacentral:rRNA from 1 species
AUGUUUCCAAGUACCAAAUGUUUUCUUCUUGGUUUUCGAAGAAACCUUCUGACCUUAUUAUACAUGCAGGUUGAUGAAACUGAGGUUAUCGGCGUUCUCCUGCAAACUGAAUUAAUUCCUCUGUGCAGGCGUACCAUGGAGAUGGGCAGUGAGCUAUCAGAAAACGUUGUCGUUUGCUCAUUGCUGUCCUGGCUGCGCUUCUUCCUUCUGGUUGCAGCAGCAGAAAUAGAAGAAAUGUACAGCCUGUUUCCCUCACCUGCCGCAUCUUCCACUGACAAUAACUCUACACAACAGCCUGUUGAGGUUUUGAAGGAUUAG